UGCUAUUACAUCACUUCCGCGAUUCAAACUGAACGUCAACCAAUCUGAGUCGGCGCGAGCAACGAAUCGGCAGAAAGCGUCGGGGAAGGGGUCAGAUCACUGACUAUCACAAUACCGGCACCUCCACAUCAUGAGUAACUAUCGAGAGAGAGGGUCAUAGGAGGAGUCAUAUCAUUGACUCGAGAGAGAGGACCUGGUUCAUUGAUGAGAGGGAUCGGUCACGGGGAGGAUCCGGAUCAUCGACUAUGCAGAGGGUCAAAGGGAGGACCGAUAUCAUUGACAAUAGAGAGAGAAGUAAGAGUCAGAGGGAGGACCCAGAUCAUUGAAUAGGUUGAGAGAGAGGGACUGAGGGAAGACCCAGAUCACUGAUUACACGGAGAGAAAGCGAGAACUAAGGGAGGAUACCGGUCAUUGGCUACACACAUUUGAGAGAGAACAUCAAUGGCGCACAGGGAAAAUCCAUAUGGUUAACCAUAGAGAAAAACAGUCCAGGUCAUAAAAGAGAGAAAUCGAAAGUCAAUAGAGAUCACAGAUUUAGAUAAUCUGGAUUACCGAGAGAAAGCAAGAGAGAGUCCUGAGUCAAAGACAACGGAGAGAGACAGUUAAGAUCAUAGAUUGGAACAGAAGACGAAGGCAAUGCAUAUCUGCCUCCCCUACAUCCAACCCCCUCCCCCCAAUUCCAUCCCCACCAUCAGCAUAAACAUCUCCAUUUCCCAGCUGCUUUGGUUAUCAGACUUGAAACAUUAACACUGUUUCUUUUCCACAGAGGCUGCCAGACUUGCUGAGAUUCCCCAUCAUUUUUUGUCUUUGUUUCAGAUCUACAGCAUCUGCAGUUCUUUGUUUUAUUUUUGUUGCUUGACCAAGUCUGUGGAGUAGCUUUCCUAAAUUCAGUAGUAAUUCCCGGAUAUUAAUGUGAAUGCCUUUACAAGGUCCAAAUGGCAGAGUAUGCCACUGUUAUGUACUGAUUUGUUGCUUAGUUUGCAGCUAAUAAAUCUAUUUUGAGCAUUGACUGUUUUUCCUAGAAUUCUGAGCUACUUCAGAGAGUUGAUAUCAGUCAACAAUAUUGGAGUCGAACACAGCUAUAUCAGGUCCUCAAAGAAGUGAUCUCUGCCUGAUCGACUUGUGGUCAAAGGUGUUUUCAACACAAAUUCUGCAGAAGGAACAGAUGGUACAGCAAAAUCCAACUAAUUGAAACAUUCUGUGGAAAUGUGGCCAGACCCAUUUUUCAUAACUGCAUGGACAGACCUUCAGAGAAAACAGAUGAUGCCUCAGGAGUGAGGAAUUGGCCAGACCUGUACCAUGUACAGCAAGACCAAGAGAACCUCACAUCUGAUGACCACGUUCUUUACAACAAUGGAGAGGGACCUCUGCUUUCACACAAUCAGUUUUUGUUUAACUGUGGUUACUUGGUCCUCCCAGUUUUUAGCACACUGCCCAAACACUUUGAACCAAAUCCCGAGCACCUGACAGUGCAGGAGACAAAAGAUCAGUUGACUUUGUUCUUGCCUCAACAUACCUUGGCUCCCAAAGACAGUUCAAACAGUCUGCUCACUGACAGUAGACCUGAGCAGAAGAAGGUGAUGCCAUCCACAUAAAGGGAGGCUUUAACCUGAGUUCUAUCAGUACCCAGGAUCGUCACCCUUCUGAUGUUUGCAUUCUUCCUGAUGGACUUUACAAAAGGCUCUGCAUGAUACACAACACAGAAGGCACCCCUGCUUGUGUGCAGGUUUGAUUGGAAACCUCUCUGUUUAUCAGCCAUUGAUUGAAACUACAUGACUGUUGUUUUAUGUAAAGCAGUUGUAUCUAAUUGCAGAUUUCCUCCCCAGGCACCAUUUCAGAGAGCAUUUCCAUUGUGUAAGACAGUGAUUCUGUGUCAAAGUCCUCUCCUGCUCCAGGCUGAUGGGGCAGCAGUUUGGCCCCCUGUCCAGUACAUAGGCAAUCGUAUCCCUGAGCAUGUUGCUGUUGGAGGUCUUCCAGCAAAGGGGGAGGCGAUGGCCUAGUGGUACUAUCACUAGUCCACUAAUCCAGAAAUUCAAGUAAUGUCCUGGGAACCCAGGUUCA